UCAGUGAAUCAUCGAAUCUUUGAACGCACAUUGCGCCCAUUAGUAUUCUAGUGGGCAUGCCUGUUCGAGCGUCAUUU
rnacentral:rRNA from 1 species